rfam:Clostridium sp. 7_2_43FAA genomic scaffold supercont2.3, whole genome shotgun sequence.
GGUUAUUGAGGUGAGAAAUGGCUCCUCAUGCGCUGGAUUUCAGUAAUAAGAGAUGUAGGAUACGCCGACCUACCAAUAAUC